AGUGAACGCUGGCGGCGUGCCUAAUACAUGCAAGUCGAACGAAGUGGCGCACGGGUGCGUAAUAUAUAGUUAAUCUGCCCUACACAGAGGAACAACAGUUGGAAACGACUGCUAAUACAUCAUAGUGUAGGAUGAGACUAUAUCGUAUCAGCUAGUUGGUAAGGUAAUGGCUGACCAAGGCUAUGACGCGUAACUGGUCUGAGAGGAUGAUCAUUGACAUUGGAAGUGAGACACGGGUAAGACUCCUACGGGAGGGAGCAGUAAUGAAUAUUGCGCAAGGGGGGAAACUCUGACGGAGCAACGCCGCGUGGAGGAUGACACUUUUCGGAGCGUAAACUCCUUUUAUCAGGAAAGCGGUACCUGAUGAGUAAGCACCGGCUAACUCCGUGCCAGCAGCCGCGGUAAUAC
rnacentral:rRNA from 1 species